rfam:Dipodomys ordii contig_57577, whole genome shotgun sequence.
UGGCUCAGUGGUAGAGCACUUGCCUUGCAUGCAUGAGGUCCUGGGUUCGAUUCCUCAG